UACGUAGGUGGCAAGCGUUGUCCGGAUUUAUUGGGUUUAAAGGGUGCGUAGGCGGCCUAUUAAGUCAGUGCUGAAAUAUCCCGGCUUAACCGGGAGGGUGGCAUUGAUACUGAAGGACUUGAGUUCAGUCGAGGUAGGCGGAAUUGACGGUGUAGCGGUGAAAUGCUUAGAUAUCGUCAAGAACACCGAUAGUGUAGACAGCUUACUAGGCUGAAACUGACGCUGAGGCACGAAAGUGUGGGGAUCAAACAGG
rnacentral:rRNA from 1 species